rnacentral:rRNA from 1 species
UAACAAGGUUUCCGUAGGUGAACCUGCGGAAGGAUCAUUACUGAGUUGUCGACACGAGUUGUUGCUGGUCCCCAAACGGGGGCAUGUGCACGCUCUGUUCACACAUCCACUCACACCUGUGCACCCUCUGUAGUUCUAUGGUCUGGGGGACACGCCGUCUUCCUCCCGUGGUUCUAUGUCUUUACACAUACACCGUAGUGAAGUCUUAUGGAAUGUGUGCCGCGUUUAACGCAAUACAAUACAACUUUCAGCAACGGAUCUCUUGGCUCUCGCAUCGAUGAAGAACGCAGCGAAAUGCGAUAAGUAAUGUGAAUUGCAGAAUUCAGUGAAUCAUCGAAUCUUUGAACGCACCUUGCGCCCCUUGGCCAUUCCGAGGGGCAUGCCUGUUUGAGUAUCAUGAACACCUCAACUCUCACGGUCCGCCGUGAUGAGCUUGGACUUUGGGGGUUUUGCUGGCCCCUAUGGGUUGGCUCCUCUCAAAUGAAUCAGCUUGCCAGUGUUUGGUGGCGUCACGAGUGUGAUAACUAUCUACGCUCGCGGUCGUCUGCCAGGUAACCUUCAGCAAUGGAGGUUCGCUGGAGCUUACAAAUGUCUCUCCUCAGCGAAACAGCAUUUCGAACGUUCGAUCUCAAAUCAGGUAGGACUACCCG